rnacentral:rRNA from 1 species
AGUGAACGCUGGCGGUAGGCCUAACACAUGCAAGUCGAACGAGUGGCGGACGGGUGAGGAAUACAUCGGAAUCUACUCUGUCGGGGGGGAUAACGUAGGGAAACUUACGCUACUACCGCAUACGAUUGAAUGAGCCGAUGUCGGAUUAGCUAGUUGGCGGGGUAAAGGCCCACCAAGGCGACGAUCCGUAGCUGGUCUGAGAGGAUGAUAGGCCACACUGGAACUGAGACACGGUCCAGACUCCUACGGGAGGCAGCAGUGGGGAAUAUUGGACAAUGGGCGCAAGCCUGAUCCAGCAAUACCGCGUGGGUGAAGAAGGCCUUCGGGUUGUAAAGCCCUUUUGUUGGGAAAGCGGUACCUAAAGAAUAAGCACCGGCUAACUUCGUGCCAGCAGCCGCGGUAAUAC